GCCUAGCCCUAAACAUAAAUAUAACAACUACCCCAUUUAUUCGCCAGGGAAUUAUGAGCCCCAGCUUAAAACCCAAAGGACUUGGCGGUGCUUUAGACCCCCCUAGAGGAGCCUGUUCUGGAACCGAUACUCCCCGUUCAACCUCACCCUCUCUUGUUCAUCCCGCCUAUAUACCGCCGUCGUCAGCUUACCCCGUGAGGGCUAAAUAGUAAGCAAAAUUGGUAAAGCCCAAUACGUCAGGUCGAGGUGUAGCUUACGAGAGGGGAAGAAAUGGGCUACAUUUACUGAGACAGUAAAUACGGAUUAUGUACUGAAAACACAUCUGAAGGAGGAUUUAGCAGUAAGAGAAGAAUAGAGCGCCUCUCUGAAGCCGGCCCUGAAGCGCGC
rnacentral:rRNA from 1 species